CCACAUACAAACCCGUCGUCAUUACAACAGCCAGCCCAUCUUCCUUCCAGGACAUCAACAUCAACACGCAACACUUGCCAAAACUCAAUUCAUCUGCGGCUUCCCUUGGUAUGUGUCAUGCCGUACACAACAGGUCUUCCAAUACCCCACAGUCUUAUUUAAGCAAUUCAGCCAGUUCCUGUUUGCCAUGGUCAAAACUAUGAAUAUGCCGCGGAGGGUUGCUUUACCCAUGCCUAUGUACACGAUUUUCCUGCCUAUGUACCCCGUGCCUGGGCAUGAUCCUUUAAAAAUAUCCACAGCCUCAAAAAGCGGCUCAGCCGCUGCGUCCGCUAUCACCUAACUGUCCACUUGUGACCCUACUGUGCUGCUUAGGUUCUACCAACGUCCACGACGUGCAUGGGCACUCGCGUGCUUGGCGGGUACUUAUGCAUUGGUACUCCUAGUGGGUGCCAGAUCAGGAAGGCUAUCCCUCUCCUGAUCAUCCCUGUUCGUCAGUAACAUAGCACUGUGGACGAGUAAUCUGGGAGCUGGCCCAUUGGGUUUCCUUCGUUUAAUUCUUGGCUUAUCCAUGAAGUGCCCAUCCAGCAAGUUCGGUGCCGGGAAUCCGUGCUCCGUAUGCUGAUGUGCAUGUCACGGAAAGGGAGAACGGUGGAGAACCAGCUGCAGCGCCAUGAUACACAACGAAGAAUAAGGGGGAACAUUGCGAACACACAUUUCUUUUGCUGCCUGAUGUGACUGCCUUUGGUGCUGCUUCUCAUAUCUCCUGCUUACAUUAGAUGUUCUCGAUGCGCGGAAAUCGUUGGCAAGCUGUAAGAACGCCAGCACUUGCACGAAGGCAAAAAGGCGCAGUCCUAUGGCAUGCUAUUAUACUACCUCUCGAGACUUUGGAUUGUUAUUCACCCAGGAUUGUUGACGGUAGCGGUAUCAUUGGCCCAUUAACUCCCACGCGUGUGUACAGUAAACGAUGAUCAAGUUGGUAACAACUUAGGGUUGCAGGUUACCUUUAGCUUGGAAAGGUAUUUUGCGGCUCCAGAACCAACUCCGCUAAGACAAAACCUGUUGCUCUUUUACGUUGCGGAC
rnacentral:lncRNA from 1 species